rnacentral:pre_miRNA from 1 species
CAAACUUGAAAUUGAAGAACUUGAAUUCGAUGGCAAUCGUUCUAUGUAUUUUUGCAAUGUAUAUUUGCAGAUACAAUUACGAUGUUAUUUGAAAUCAUUGGCAAUAAUAGUUUA